GUUGGAGCCGUCCUUGAAAUACCACCCUUGUAUGUUUGAUGUUCUAACUUAGCCCCAUUAUCUGGGGUGAGGACAGUGCCUGGUGGGUAGUUUGACUGGGGCGGUCUCCUCCCAAAGAGUAACGGAGGAGCACGAAGGUGGGCUAAUCACGGUUGGACAUCGUGAGGUUAGUGCAAUGGCAUAAGCCCGCUUAACUGCGAGAAUGACGGUUCGAGCAGGUGCGAAAGCAGGUCAUAGUGAUCCGGUGGUUCUGUAUGGAAGGGCCAUCGCUCAACGGAUAAAAGGUACUCCGGGGAUAACAGGCUGAUACCGCCCAAGAGUUCAUAUCGACGGCGGUGUUUGGCACCUCGAUGUCGGCUCAUCACAUCCUGGGGCUGAAGUCGGUCCCAAGGGUAUGGCUGUUCGCCAUUUAAAGUGGUACGCGAGCUGGGUUUAGAACGUCGUGAGACAGUUCGGUCCCUAUCUGCCGUGGGCGUUGGAAGAUUGAAGGGGGCUGCUCCUAGUACGAGAGGACCGGAGUGGACGAACCUCUGGUGUUCGGGUUGUGUCGCCAGACGCAUUGCCCGGUAGCUAAGUUCGGAAUUGAUAAGCGCUGAAAGCAUCUAAGCGCGAAGCGAGC
rnacentral:rRNA from 1 species